rnacentral:rRNA from 4 species
UGGGGAAUAUUGCACAAUGGGGGAAACCCUGAUGCAGCAACGCCGCGUGAGUGAUGACGGUCUUCGGAUUGUAAAGCUCUGUCUUCAGGGACGAUAAUGACGGUACCUGAGGAGGAAGCCACGGCUAACUACGUGCCAGCAGCCGCGGUAAUACGUAGGUGGCAAGCGUUGUCCGGAUUUACUGGGCGUAAAGGGAGCGUAGGUGGAUAUUUAAGUGGGAUGUGAAAUACUCGGGCUUAACCUGGGUGCUGCAUUCCAAACUGGAUAUCUAGAGUGCAGGAGAGGAAAGUAGAAUUCCUAGUGUAGCGGUGAAAUGCGUAGAGAUUAGGAAGAAUACCAGUGGCGAAGGCGACUUUCUGGACUGUAACUGACACUGAGGCUCGAAAGCGUGGGGAGCAAACAGG